GGUUCCAUAGUGUAAUGGUUAGCACUCUGGACUUUGAAUCCAGCGAUCCGAGUUCGAGUCUCGGUGGAACCU
rnacentral:tRNA from 1 species